rnacentral:rRNA from 1 species
UACGUAGGGUGCGAGCGUUAAUCGGAAUUACUGGGCGUAAAGCGUGCGCAGGUGGAUGCUUAAGCCAGACGUGAAAUCCCCGGGCUUAACCUGGGAAUGGCGUUUGGAACUGGGCGUCUUGGAGUGCGGCAGAGGGAGGUGGAAUUCCUGGUGUAGCAGUGAAAUGCGUAGAUAUCAGGAGGAACACCGAUGGCGAAGGCAGCCUCCUGGGCCAGCACUGACGCUCAAGCACGAAAGCGUGGGGAGCAAACAGG